UUUGCGGGGUGUCACACCUUCACAGCCAUCACACAGGAACUUUCAGGAAACCCAGCUGUCCAAGAUGAAGAGUCUCGUAUUGGUUUUGUUUGUGUCUGCGGCAGUGCUCUGCUUUGUCAGCGAAAGCUCAGCUAAUAGAGAUUGUAACGCCGAAUACAGCAAGCUUUGCCAGCCAGACUACAAAGGUCCCCAAUGCACUAAUGGAUGUUUCUGCGACAGGCUGAGGUUCAAUGCUGGGAACUGUUGCCAUUCGUGUGAAUGCGUCUGCUAAUGAGAGGAAAAUGAUAGACCGCAAGAUGUUAAUUCAAAUAAAUAAAUGAAUUGUCUGUA